GCCUCUGUAGCUCAGUCGGCAGAGCACCUCCAUGGUAAGGAGGGGGUCCUCGGUUCAAUUCCGAGCGGAGGCU
rnacentral:tRNA from 1 species